UGUUAUAAAGGAGCCUCCGUUUUAUACUUUUCAAUCGAGGAAUUGUUUUAAAGAUUUUGUUUUAUUUUUUGUUACACAUUAUACAUGGGCAGUGUGUAUGUGGGAUGCAUUUGGAGACCAGAAGAGGAUUUGUAUGGGUUCCUUAGACCUGAAAUUAAAGAAGACUAGAGUUGUGCUGGAUCUCUGAGACAGAAGGAGCACUGUCCCCUCAGGCAUCAUGUGGAGGAGCUGACUGGUCAUGAACUUUUACUAUGGACUAUUUAGGGUGUCUGAGAAGCAAAACGACUCCUUCAAACCCAGAAUCCAGGGAACUUGGAAGAAGUAUUGAGUGAAGGCAGAGACCCCGAAGCCACACAUAGAAUGCUUUACAAUCUUGUAAUUGUCCUCAAGGGCAACAUGAGCAGAAAGGAGGCAGAACUUCGCAGUUAAGCUGAAUGAAAUUCCAUUGGUACAUGCUUCACAUUUCAUCAUCUAAUCACCCGUUGAUCCCAUCUGGGAUGCUUCCAUUUCCUCACCAUUGGAAAAGAAUGGCAACAAGCAUGGAGAUCUGGCCAGAAGAGUCCAAAGAAAAACAGUUUCAACCUCUGAUUCAAAGGAAGAAUUUGAAAGGAGAAUGAGAGAAGCUGUUAAUGCUGGCUUCUGUUCAGAGCCCCGCCCUAUUCACUCCUCAUCCCCACAUAGACUCUUCCCUGGCCAGGAAAGACAAUGAAAUCAUCCAUCCUUAACUGAUUAUGUGAUUCUCCCUGGGCUUAAAUAUGUGCUGAACUACAGGGACAGACCCAGGAAGCAAACAGCAGAUCAAGGAAUUGCCUGUCAAGACAGAAGAAACACUGGGGACUGUUUAUGCUAAUGGGAGCAAUUUAUCCUAGACUUACACACCACCAGACUCUAAAGCUCUGUGAGCAUUUGGCAGCAAUGAUAUAUAGGCUUAUCUUUCUUGCUUAUGGUUACUUCUAGCCAUAUCUCCUCUUUCUGGACAUAGCAACCCUGCCUUGGGUUGGGUAACCCCAGCAAUCCUUCCUGGUUUCUUUGGCUGUAUUUUUAUCCGAAUUCACUCUCACUUUCAGACAUCAAUUGUCUGCUUGGUUUACUGUUGUGUGUUUUGCCAAAUGGGCAUCUUUUUCUCCUUCUCAAUACCUCCACACACAUAUGUAGACUUGUGACCACUGUACGAACUCCCUCAAAGGCCACUGAAGACUCCAAUGAUAGAAUCUAGUGAAUUGCAUUACCAUUUAU
rnacentral:lncRNA from 1 species